rnacentral:rRNA from 1 species
UACGUAGGGGGCAAGCGUUGUCCGGAUUUAUUGGGCGUAAAGAGCUCGUAGGUGGUUCGGUAAGUCGGAUGUGAAAUCUCCAGGCUCAACCUGGAGGGGUCAUUCGAUACUGCCGUGACUAGAGGUCGGUAGGGGAGUGUGGAAUUCCUGGUGGAGCGGUGAAAUGCGCAGAUAUCAGGAGGAACACCCGGUAGCGAAGGCGGCACUCUGGGCCGAUACUGACACUGAGGAGCGAAAGCGUGGGGAGCGAACAGG